rnacentral:rRNA from 1 species
GGGGUAUAUGUCUUCGGAUAUAGAGACCGGCGCACGGGUGCGUAACGCGUAUGCAAUCUACCUUUCACAGAGGGAUAGCCCAGAGAAAUUUGGAUUAAUACCUCAUAGUAUUAUUGAGUGGCAUCACUUAAUAAUUAAAGUCACAACGGUGAAAGAUGAGCAUGCGUCCCAUUAGCUAGUUGGUAAGGUAACGGCUUACCAAGGCAACGAUGGGUAGGGGUCCUGAGAGGGAGAUCCCCCACACUGGUACUGAGACACGGACCAGACUCCUACGGGAGGCAGCAGUGAGGAAUAUUGGACAAUGGGCGCAAGCCUGAUCCAGCCAUGCCGCGUGCAGGAUGACGGUCCUAUGGAUUGUAAACUGCUUUUGUACGAGAAGAAACACUGCUUCGUGAAGCAGCUUGACGGUAUCGUAAGAAUAAGGAUCGGCUAACUCCGUGCCAGCAGCCGCGGUAAUACGGAAGAUCCAAGCGUUAUCCGGAAUCAUUGGGUUUAAAGGGUCCGUAGGCGG